rnacentral:lncRNA from 1 species
GGAAACUGAAAUAUUUACCAUGGAGCUGACCAAUGAUAUACUUUUUAGAGGUGAUGCAUGAGAUGUUUUCUAUUGCUGACCCAAGCUACUUCUGCCUCUUCUUUCCAGCUAACAGAAUCCCAAUUUGUUCAGAUAGGGACCUUCACCAGGGAUGAACUAUGACUGAGCUAAAUAAACCAGGCUUUCUAAUCUCAUCCCUUUUGGAAGUAAUUGGUCUGAUGAUGAGCAGGUGACCUAGUUCAACUGCAGAUGGAGACACCUGGAGAGGACUUCUUUUCCUGACUAAAAAGACAAAGCUGUGCAAAAAGGAAAGAUUUAACUUUCUCCCCUUCUUUCUUCCUGGAAUAUGGCUCUGGUUCCUGAGAUGCAGCAGAUGUUUUGUGACAUGAGCAAAAAGUCCAAGGAUGAAAGGUAAAGAUGAAGAUGGAAAGGCCCUGAUUCCUUGGUGGGAUCAUGGAGCAGUUGAACCUACUCCAGCAACUGUCUGCCACUGGAAUUCUCGUAAUAGAAGAAAAAUAAUCCCCUAUUCUAUUAGGUUACUGAAGUUUGGUUUGCUGUUUCUUGCGAUUGAAUGCCUAACACAGAUGGGCUCUCCUGAGGUUUGUUGUGAGACUCUAUUGCUAACAUAAUAAGCAAUCUGGGUGUCUUCAUUUGGGUUCCCUCAAUAACAGACCUUAUGACAAGGAUUAGGGUGCAAGUGGUUCAUUUGAGAGGCAAAGGAAAUAUCAAUAAGCAGUUAGGGAAGUGAAACAGAAAAAAGCAGCCAAUAAAGGGUGCAUUAUCAAGCCAGCUACCACUGUGAAGAAACUCUACAAACCAACGGAAAACACAUGCCUCAGGGGUAAAGGAGCUAGGGUAUUUACAUACCAACUCAUUUAUUGGUUGAGGAAGGCUUCCAGGGAACAUUAAUACCCUGGCAUAUCUGUUUACCAUAUAGGAGGCAAACUGGGCUUUAACAGUCAGAGAAAGCCCUCAGGAGAAGAAAUGCAGGCACUGAUCAUUGAAAGUCCAGCUAGCACGCAUUGAAAAACUAGGAGAUAUGGAAGGACAAUCAAGAGCAUCUGCUGCAACUAAUGAGCUGCUGUUACAGGCAAAUACAGCAUAGCCCAUCUGGAUUCUUUACACUAAGGCAAGAGGCAAGCAGAAGACAAAGAGAGAAAGCAGAGGACCUCCGGGAAAGGAAGCCCCCUUUUCAGUCGGCCUAGGCAGAAGUAGAUUUACUCUGAGGAUUCACUCCAAGGGUGAAGUUUUAAGGGUGCUUCACUUGCUCUGGUUUCAUAAAUAAAUUUUGAUCUUCUUAAAUACAUUUGGAUUAAAUUUUCAUGUUUUUUUCUAAAAGAAAUUGUACAAACCUGAGGACCCAUGAACUUAGUUUCACCCCUCCUACUGGGGAAGCCUAGCAACUCCAAAUGGCCUUUGUCACCAUCUGAUUCUUAAAUUCUAAUUUCCACAUUGUUGUGUAAAAACAAGAAGCUAUAGAUAACAGUUGAGUUGUAAAGUUAUCUGGUGUACUUUAUUAUUAGCAGUGAUUGAUGUGGAUAAUGGACAAUCUGGAAAAUCCUGAAUACUUAACAAACAAUAUUAUUUAUAUCUAUCCAUUUUACUUUACAUGCAUAGAUGGAGGCUUUUAAAGAGUGUUACUUGUGAAACAUGUUUUUAAAAUUAUUUUGUCCUAUCUUAUGUUAUUAGACCCCUGAGAACUCAAGUUUAUAGAGAUUAGCAAUAUGAUUUUUAUAAAUAUUUUUAAGUACUUACCUCCCAGACCAUUGUAAAUGGGAUGGGCCAUAAUUACAAAUUUAUCAUUAAAAUAAAAAGAAUGUUAAGAAGCAUAUAAAAAUUACACAAUCCCAAUCUAUCUUUUCACAGAUUGACUGUCAAAUGCAUUCUGAUGGGAAAAUGAAUAGUAAAAAAAGACAUAAUAUACUGACAUUGAGCAUAUUUUAUAUUGAACAAGACUGUUUAAAAUUCUUCACAUAGCAUGUUCAGGCUGCAUUUUAAUUAAAUGCCAUGCAGAAGUGCUCAGCUUUUGAACCAUGUAAUAUUCCCAGGACAAUAGUAAAUUUCCAGGGAAAAUUUGAACUGCUAAAAAGUUAUUUCUGAAAUUGUCCUCUGUUAUUUAUUAUUUCAAUGUAAUGACCUUGCCACUCAAAAAAAUCCAUUAAAAUAUUUUUCUCUCAUAAGUGAUAACUUUAUUUGAUAGCAAAUAUCUUGACAACAUAAUAAAAACUAAUAUUCACAUCACAUCAUGUUAUUUAAAAUUAUUUUCACACAUACUUUGACUCAUUUAAACAACAUAUCAACCCUAUCGGUUUUAUUUUUUAUUUUUGUAUUUUACUUUAAGUUCCAGGAUACAUGUGCAGAACGUGCAGAUUUGUUAUAUAGGUAUACAUGCGCCAUGGUGGUUUGCUG